rnacentral:rRNA from 1 species
UAAGACAGAGGGUGCGAACGUUGCUCGGAAUUACUGGGCGUAAAGCGCGUGUAGGCGGACUAGUAAGUCGGACGUGAAAUCCCUGGGCUCAACCCAGGAACUGCAUCCGAAACUAUUAGUCUGGAGUGGUGGAGAGGAAAGCAGAAUUCCUGGUGUAGAGGUGAAAUUCGUAGAUAUCAGGAGGAACACCGGUGGCGAAGGCGGCUUUCUGGACACUAACUGACGCUGAGACGCGAAAGCGUGGGGAGCAAACAGGAUUAGAUACCCUGGUAGUCCACGCCGUAAACGAUGAGUGCUGGGUGUCGCGGGUUUUGACCCCUGCGGUGCCGUAGCUAACGCGUUAAGCACUCCGCCUGGGGAGUACGGCCGCAAGGCUA